UUUGCCCUUUGCAAGAACCGAAGCGGAUGAAGCAGAUUCGCCGGCGGUAGUGGAACUCCUCCUCGCCGCCGGUGGAGAGAAUAGCAGCUCUCCUCGAGCUGGAGCGAUAUUGUUUGGCUCCGUUGCUGCAGUCGGCCUCGUCUCUCUUCCGGCGGCGGCAGAGGUCGAUUCAAGGAAGGAGAAGGCCGGUUUGGUUGCUGCAAGUGUCGAUUUUGUGCCGGCGGAGGUCGAUCCGGCGGUUCCGGAGCUCGGUGCGGCUCCACUCGGAGACGAGAGCGAGGCAACGCGGGGCGGACUGCAUGGGACUCUUGUCACGGCAGGACGCUGGCGCAAAUGGUCGUAUUCUUCAACAAGCAAGGAAACGUAUGCAAAUAGCACAGCUCAUUCCAAUAGCAGGUAGUCGAAAUAGCAUUUCCCUCUUUUAAGAAAUUUCUUCCCGUCGAUGUGCUGAAGUUGUAGUUGCUCGUCGGCGGGGCAUGCUGCAGCUGCUUGUCCAUCACCGGAUGGGCAGUCAAGCAACGGAGCUGCAACGAGAGCUGAGGGGAGCACAGAGUGGCGUGGUCGUCGACGCAGGGGAGGCUACCGAUCACGAGGCCGAACAUACCGGCGGCGCCUGCUCCCUGCAGUUCCCACUCAAGUUAGUUGGGGCGCUUGAUACCGGCGGCGCCUGCUCCCUUAAUCUGUCAGGCAUGCUCGGCGCCGCGUGAGCGCAUCUGGGCGCAUGGUGUUCCGCAGCCUGGAGUGCUGCUCGAGCAGCCGGCCGGCGUCGGAGAAGAAUGGAGGAAAGUACGGUCGGGCCUUAUUCAAUCGGUGUAGAUGAUAAGGCAGGACCAUUCCUUUCCAUUUGCUAGCCCUUGAAAAUGAAAAGGAAAAGGAAUAGAAAAGAGAAAUAGAGUAGAAAACCUUUGAACUCGCAUGCUCAACGUUAUAUUUUAAAAGGCAUGCAAAUUGAGUGUUAAAAGAAGUCAGCCGUACGAAUUCAAUGUUAUAUUUUGAAAGGCAUACAAAUGUAAGUUCUAUGUACGGCGCGUAGCUAGAACUCUCCCUACGGCGUGGGUGGGUGAGUGUUGUGUGUGUGUGGGUGG
rnacentral:lncRNA from 1 species